CGCCCAAUAGUCGGUGAGCCUGCUGGCAGCGUAAUAGAGCCUUCUCUCGGUAACUAGGACUUCCGGCCCAGCUCGUCAUUUGCACCAACUUGAAGACAUUGGCGAAACGCAGAAUGUUCGAAAUUAUUUUCCCCCGUAAUAGUCUAUUAUUAUUUGGUUUAUUACUUUAGCUAUCUUAUCGAGGUAACCUCGAGCACGUUGAGCGGAGGCGGCCAACCGGGUCGUCUGAGUAGUUAACGUGGCGCUGAUUGGAGUGCUCCACGGGUCGCCGGAGUUGAUGCCGCAAGCUACCUUCGCCUCUCGAGAAGCUUUUUUAAGGAGCUGUUUCCCAUCAAUAUUGGAAAAAUAAAAAAAUUGGUUCAGUCAAAUUUGGCGGAAGGAGGUGACUGGGAAUUUUUUUGAGAACAAGACCUGAUUGGCAGUCGAAUUGAUUACGGCCGUGAAGAGUGGGCGUCGAUACAAAUGUUUAAACGACAUGAGAACUUCGUAGAUAUUCCAGAGCGUGCUGCAGCGGUGGAUGGCAUCUUCAAAGUCGUGAACCAAAUGAAUCUCUAAUGCCCUGGUCUCAUUUUGGCCUGGUACCAUUCUUCCGGUUUCAAAAUGUCGAAAAUGUUGUCACGAUUGUGAGUGACGAGAUUAAUGGCCAAUUCAACAAAAUUGUCCUGGGCCUUCGUGAGACUUUGGCCAAUAUCGCGCUCUCUUUCAGUACAGAAUGUCACCGUUGUUCCAGUGAUUCGCAAAUGUCAAUGACGUGACUUAUGCGUAAAUCCAGUGCCCGGAAAUUGGCCAAAACUGAUUCCGCGUUCAAUUCGAUCCUUUGCCACUUCAUGGUCUGUUGUGCGAAUGAUGGACUUCCAGGACUUUGUACGGAGCUUUGAUAACUCAUUCAGUGAAUACCUGAAAGUAGGUGGCGACGCAGCGAUUGAGACAUCGUCGGCAGAUCUUCUCCAAGUCGUCGACACAUUCUCUCGGCCGCCCUUUGAGGAAGAGUUUAUCGAUGGCCACCGCCAUGGCGUGUUGGCUAAUUUUGGUCACUACCUCAUUACCGAUGGUGAAUAGAAGUCUGGCAGCCGCAUCACGCUCCCUAUUAAUAUGAAAAUAGGUUGAAUGAACACUUACGGGACCUCUCGGCUUCUAUGACACACAGUCGGUCGCCCGGUUGGAUGAAGCCGAGCGGGCGAAAUCAGAGAAUGCGUAGGAGACGGGAAAUCCAAUAUCGCGCUGUCGCGAAUCAGGCCCGGACACAGGAGAUAUAACCAACAAUACGAAUAUAUAUAGAGAGACGGAAAAGAAGCGGACCUGUUCUCAUAGUUCGGUAGGUCUACAUGACGCACAAUAACGAUGAUCCGAUUGCACGCGUCUUCUUGACCAAUCCAAAGCCGGCAGGUCGACAAGUGGAGCUACGUGUUGUCCUCUGAUAGUUUCCGGGAAAAUCCUGACCUUUUCAAUUGCUUCGACGGAACGCCGUAAACAAGUUAAAUAUUUGGCAGCCAACUUUGUCUGUUUCGCUGUUUCCUGUUGGAAAAAAUUAUAGUCGAGUUCAGUGUUCAAUGAUGCAAGUUUUAUUGGAUGGGCUGGGUUUACUUGUAGCUGAUCGAGAAGAUUUUCCAGCUCGUCUCCGACCACUGAAUUGGCUUCUUUCAGGAUUUUCAAGACGCGUUGGUAGUCUUCUUUCAUUAAUUUGCUGCUGAGUUUCUUGAGAAUUUCAUCUUUUUCCAUCAAAAAUGUGUUAUUGAUUUCGUCUUGAAUGGUCGGUUGACUGUUCUUGGAUCCACUUGUCGUGUAAUAGUCCUUGAGUUCAACGGAAUAGAUGCUCGAUAUUAUCCUCGUCGUCUUCAGCCGGAGGUUGAACGAUCAGUGUUGGUUUGAGGAGCCGACUUUCGUUUAGACAAUUUUUCUCGAUCAGAAACUGGCGCAAUUUCAGUAAGUUUCCUUCCAUCAAAUGUCUCACCUCUUAUCACGUUUAUAAAUCAUUAGAUAUUUCAUACAACUGGACAAGACUGUUAAUA